CCUCCGGCAGACAACUGUAAACAUGAUCCAGGAACCCUGGAAUAAAGUGAAUAUUCCGUUUCCAGGCUCUGUUCAUUAGAGUCGGAUUGUAUUUUCUGCUUCAACGGGUACGUUUCCAUACAUAUAGAAAGAAAAUGGAUACAAGCACACAAAAAAAAAUUUGUUUCCCUGCUGCUGAUGGGAACCCAUGGCUCACACUCGGGCCUUUAUGGGUUAAUGUGAAAUUAUGCUCAUGUUAUUUUAUUUGGAUUGGAUUAAUGGAUAAUGGAUUUAUAUUGUAACUUCUGAUGUCUUUAGAUGGUCUUAGUUAGCGUAAGCACAGAUCAUAAACAUAUAUUUAAGUAAAGGAACUGUAUCUGUACAAUGAACAGUAAAAUAAAAAGAGGACUGCCAAAGCAAAAUUGAAAAGGGAGUUGCAGAAACUACAGGAUAAUUUGAGGAAAGUUGAGCAGAAAAAUACAGAAAGUUUUUAACUGUUUUUGAAAUGCUUAUUAGUUUUAAUGCCAGGCCUACUGGCAUUGUGAGCCUACUGUAAUAUGACUAUUUUUUAUGUUUGUCCAUUGAAUAUUUGAUCAGAUCCAGUUUGUGGUCUUGAUGACAUGUUUCUUUUUUUUUUAGCAUUCCUACUCAACCUGUUGAUCCUUCAUUGAAAAGAUAUAUCAAAUAUUAAUAAACAACAUUCCUGUGCUCCAGAGUAUUUAUUUGUCACAUUUAUGCCAUGAUCUACAAUCAAAAAUAAUGUAUCCAUUCAACCCUGUUUCUUUGCGCAACCCUGUUACCAUAUCAUUUUUAUUAAAAUAAUCUGAAAUUAUUUUCUCAUCUCACAAGGGUUUAACCUAUUGUACUUUUUUUUAAAUCCCUUUUCUUCCCAAUUUGGAAUGCCCAAUUCCCAUUACUUAGUAGGUCCCAAUCCGGGUGGCGGAGGGCAAGUCUCAGUUACCUCCUCUUCUGAGAUUGUCAAUCCGCGCAUCUUAUUGCGUGGCUCGCUGUACAUGACGCCGCAGAGACUCGCAGCUUGUGGAGGCUCAUGCUACUCUCCAUGAUCCACACACACAACUUACCAAGUACUUGGCACCUCCAGCCUUUUAGCCCGAAUCUUCAAACGAUGUGCCCAUGCUUUUCAAUGGAUACGACAGCACCUUGCACUGGCUGAAUUUAUUGUGCUGAAUGUGGUGAUAACCAGCAUGCUCCGUCGUCUCUGGGUUUUUUCAAAGGUAUUCUGAGAGCCCUCUGGCCCAUGUACAAAAAAAUCCACUAAGUUCCUCCAGAAGGUCGCUCCGUCCCAGCCCAUGGCCUACCUGACUGACUUCAACCUGCCCGGGGACCUCAAAGACGUCCUGUGCCUCUCACAUCCUGACCUCCUGAUGGAGGAUGGCACUACAAAAUCUUUAGAGAUCUUAAAAGGGGGAAAAAAAUCUAAUCUUCUCUCAUUAGCAGAGAGGAAGAGGAUCAGGUAGUAGAAGAGAGAGAGAGAUAAUGUCAAUAUUAGCUGCUGGUCUCAAUGAAGGCUCUAGUCUGGACCUAGUGGGUACAGCAGUUUUACUGCAAUGACCAGGUUAUUUUGGAUAUCGCGUUGUACUUGUUUUUUACUAUGUUUUUAUAUGCAUGCAUAUGAUAUGUUUUUCUAUUUGAUUACAAUCUUCUAGAAGCCUCUCCCUCCGGAUUGGACAUGAAGGUUGUGCUUUGACAACCUUAUAAAACUCCCAAACAUGAAUUUGGCCUACAAGUUCAUGAAGUUAAUAUGUUACGGUUACUCUAGCUACUCAUAUUAAAUUCUUAUGACAAAUUAUGCUGUGUGCAAAAACUGCAUUGUUUUCAUAACACUGCUUAUUUUGAUAACUUCUUUAUCUUCCUCGAAGAUGAUAUUUCUCAAGCCAAGGGUGAAAUUGGACUUCUCAAGCCAAGUUGCAGUCUGUCAGAAGAGGAAGUUCUUGAGCUCAAUGAGGAAGGUUUUCUCCUUCAGAAACAUAUCUACACACUUGUAAUAAGAGAUGCACUGGUGCAGGAGCUGUAGUUUCUGUCAAGAAUGCAAGCACCUCGCCUUUCUACUCUUGAAGUGUCGGAGAAUGGAAAGAUUGGAAGCUGAAGGUGUCAGGUACAACAAAAUAAAGAAAUUUUUAUUGAUGUUUAAAAAUGUGUAAUUGUGCGAAAUGUCGCAUAUUUUUGUGGAGGGGUGAUUUGUGGAGGGGGUGAUUGUCGGUGAUUGUCGGUAGCCAUAUCAUCCUGCAGCUAUUGGAAGGAAAUUGGACUCUCUUACAGAAACUAAAUAAUAUGCCCAAGGAUGACAUUGAUGAUAUUUUCGCAUCCAUUGGAUUUUAGUGGUUUAUUGUGUUGGUAGAAUAUUCUUCUUUUUUUUUUUUACAUCCAAACUUAAGCACAAAAUCUGACAUCAUUGUGUGAAAAUGCUAUUUCUUGAAAUAUCUAAAUGAAAUUCUUUGUGAUCUGAUUCUGAUAUUUCCUAUUCAGUGCCUUUUUAAUUUCUUUGAGAACAUGCUGAUAGAUUGCAGUGCAAUUUCAAAUUUCUGCAGAGAUAAUGUUUUUUAAUUCAGGAUUGACAAAUUAAUUUAAUCUCACCCAAUGAAUUCUUUGUAUGAAUUUUGCCCUGUAUGUAUGCUGCAUGGUAUAAGUAAAAAAAGGAGAAAAAAUAUAAAUGCAUACCGUAUAAUG